rnacentral:rRNA from 1 species
CUUUCUGCCGCCGGCGACCGGCGCACGGGUGAGUAACACGUAUGAAACCUGCCCGUAGCAGGGGGAUAAGCGGAAGAAAUUCCGUCUAAUACCGCGUAACAACCCGAGGAGGCAUCUCCUCGGGUUUAAAGGAAGCGAUUCCGGCUACGGAUGGUCAUGCGUCGCAUUAGCUAGUUGGCGGGGUAACGGCCCACCAAGGCGACGAUGCGUAGGGGUUCUGAGAGGAAGGUCCCCCACACUGGUACUGAGACACGGACCAGACUCCUACGGAAGGCAGCAG